AAAUAAACCUGUCCUUGUUGACUGUCGAGC
rnacentral:piRNA from 1 species